UACGUAGGCAGCAAGCGUUGUUCGGAGUUACUGGGCGUAAAGGGUGUGUAGGCGGUUGUUUAAGUUUGGUGUGAAAUCUCCCGGCUCAACUGGGAGGGUGCGCCGAAUACUGAAUGACUAGAGUGCGGGAGAGGAAAGUGGAAUUCCUGGUGUAGCGGUGAAAUGCGUAGAUAUCAGGAGGAACACCGGUGGUGUAGACGGCUUUCUGGACCGUA
rnacentral:rRNA from 1 species